rnacentral:rRNA from 1 species
GGAGCUUGCUCCUUUGACGUUAGCGGCGGACGGGUGAGUAACACGUGGGUAACCUACCUAUAAGACUGGGAUAACUUCGGGAAACCGGAGCUAAUACCGGAUAACAUUUGGAACCGCAUGGUUCUAAAGUGAAAGAUGGUUUUGCUAUCACUUAUAGAUGGACCCGCGCCGUAUUAGCUAGUUGGUAAGGUAACGGCUUACCAAGGCAACGAUACGUAGCCGACCUGAGAGGGUGAUCGGCCACACUGGAACUGAGACACGGUCCAGACUCCUACGGGAGGCAGCAGUAGGGAAUCUUCCGCAAUGGGCGAAAGCCUGACGGAGCAACGCCGCGUGAGUGAUGAAGGGUUUCGGCUCGUAAAACUCUGUUAUUAGGGAAGAACAAAUGUGUAAGUAACUGUGCACAUCUUGACGGUACCUAAUCAGAAAGCCACGGCUAACUACGUGCCAGCAGCCGCGGUAAUACGUAGGUGGCAAGCGUUAUCCGGAAUUAUUGGGCGUAAAGCGCGCGUAGGCGGUUUCUUAAGUCUGAUGUGAAAGCCCACGGCUCAACCGUGGAGGGUCAUUGGAAACUGGGAAACUUGAGUGCAGAAGAGGAAAGUGGAAUUCCAUGUGUAGCGGUGAAAUGCGCAGAGAUAUGGAGGAACACCAGUGGCGAAGGCGACUUUCUGGUCUGUAACUGACGCUGAUGUGCGAAAGCGUGGGGAUCAAACAGGAUUAGAUACCCUGGUAGUCCACGCCGUAAACGAUGAGUGCUAAGUGUUAGGGGGUUUCCGCCCCUUAGUGCUGCAGCUAACGCAUUAAGCACUCCGCCUGGGGAGUACGACCGCAAGGUUGAAACUCAAAGGAAUUGACGGGGACCCGCACAAGCGGUGGAGCAUGUGGUUUAAUUCGAAGCAACGCGAAGAACCUUACCAAAUCUUGACAUCCUUUGAAAACUCUAGAGAUAGAGCCUUCCCCUUCGGGGGACAAAGUGACAGGUGGUGCAUGGUUGUCGUCAGCUCGUGUCGUGAGAUGUUGGGUUAAGUCCCGCAACGAGCGCAACCCUUAAGCUUAGUUGCCAUCAUUAAGUUGGGCACUCUAGGUUGACUGCCGGUGACAAACCGGAGGAAGGUGGGGAUGACGUCAAAUCAUCAUGCCCCUUAUGAUUUGGGCUACACACGUGCUACAAUGGACAAUACAAAGGGCAGCUAAACCGCGAGGUCAUGCAAAUCCCAUAAAGUUGUUCUCAGUUCGGAUUGUAGUCUGCAACUCGACUACAUGAAGCUGGAAUCGCUAGUAAUCGUAGAUCAGCAUGCUACGGUGAAUACGUUCCCGGGUCUUGUACACACCGCCCGUCACACCACGAGAGUUUGUAACACCCGAAGCCGGUGGAGUAACCAUUUAUGGAGCUAGCCGUC